UUGGAGGGCAAGUCUGGUGCCAGCAGCCGCGGUAAUUCCAGCUCCAAUAGCGUAUAUUAAAGUUGUUGCAGUUAAAAAGCUCGUAGUUGAAUUUCGGGAUCAUCAGGUUGGUCGUGCCACUGGUAUGUACUUGCCUCGGUGUCCCUCCCUCUUGAAGAACCGUAAUGCCCUUAAUUUGGUGUUGCGGCCUCCAGGACUGUUACUUUGAAAAAAUUAGAGUGGUUAAAGCAGGCAAACGCUUGAAUACCUUAGCAUGGAAUAAUGGAAUAGGAUUUUUGAUCUUUUUUUGUUGGCUUCUAGGAUCCACGUAAUGAUUAAUAGGGAUAGUUGGGGGCAUUAGUAUUCAAUUGUCAAAGGGGAAAUUCUUGGAUUUUUUGAAAACUGAUUACUGCAAAAGCUUUUGCCAAGGAGGUUUUCUUUAAUCAAAAACAAAAGUUAGGGGAUCAAAAACAAUCAAAUACCGCCUAAUUCUUAACCAUAAACUAUGCUGACUAGGGAUCGGAUGAUGUUAAUUUUUUAAUGACUCAUUCGGCGCCUUACGGGAAAC
rnacentral:rRNA from 1 species